rnacentral:rRNA from 1 species
CCUAUUUACGUUUGAGAAAUGGGGUGACGCAGUAGGAUAAGAUGUGCGCACUAUUGGAUGUGCGUCUAAGCACUUAGGCAUGCUUGAUAGGCAAAUCCGUCGAGCUAAGCUGAGGUGUGAUGGGGAGCCAUUUAUGGCGAAGUAUCUGAUUCCACACUGCCAAGAAAAGCCUCUAUCGAGUGAAUAGGUGCCCGUACCGCAAACCGACACAGGUAGGUGAGGAGAGAAUCCUAAGGCCAUCGGAAGAAUUGCUGUUAAGGAACUCGGCAAAUUGACCCCGUAACUUCGGGAGAAGGGGUGCCUACGAAAGUAGGCCGCAGAGAAUAGGCCCAAGCAACUGUUUAGCAAAAACACAGGUCUCUGCUAAAGCGAAAGCUGAUGUAUAGGGGCUGACGCCUGCCCGGUGCUGGAAGGUUAAGGGGAACACUUAGCGUAAGCGAAGGUGUGAACUUAAGCCCCAGUAAACGGCGGCCGUAACUAUAACGGUCCUAAGGUAGCGAAAUUCCUUGUCGGGUAAGUUCCGACCCGCACGAAUGGCGUAAUGAUUUGGGCACUGUCUCAACAGCAAAUCCGGCGAAAUUGUAGUGCAAGUGAAGAUGCUUGCUACCCGCGAUUGGACGGAAAGACCCCGUAGAGCUUUACUGUAGCUUAGCAUUGAAUCUCGGUAUUGUCUGUACAGGAUAGGUGGGAGACUUGGAAACUUGGGCGUCAGCCUGAGUGGAGUCAUCCUUGGGAUACCACCCUGACAGUACUGGGGUUCUAACCGGCGGCCAUGAAUCUGGUCACGGGACAUUGUUAGGUGGGCAGUUUGACUGGGGCG